AGCAGGCACCAUUCUAAAGAAGGCAAGCGGGUGCGGAUCAUGGCAAGAAACAGGUGAAGUUCAAGUUCUUUCUGAACGGAGGAAUACUGAAGUCUCCAGGCCGACUCCCUCCCCAAGGAUAUCCAAGGCUGAUGUGAAAGUAGAAAAGCCAGAUGAGAAGAAAUUGGAUAAAGAAUCAGAAGAGUCAAAAGGAGAAAAUAAAAUUAAACGACAGAAGAUGCACCCAGUCAUUCAUGUGUCAUCUCAACCCACUGUUGAAUCUCAAUGUGCCCAACAGUAAAUAAAUUAUAUUUAUAUUUCUGGUAGUGAAGAUUUAACUUUUCCUUUUGAUGUUCAUCAUGGGACAUGUAAGUAAAUCUGUGUACAAUAUCAUAUGCCAUUACAUUGAGAAGUACAAGGUAAUUAUCACAUCUGACAUACUAAUUAAAUAAUCACUUCUGUGGUAAAUGAAAAUGGGAGAUACCAUAUACUUGUAGCGCAUUAAAUCUUGUAUUCAAUAGAUGUGUUUCUAAGCAUUUUAGAAUAUUGAAGUUUUAGAUGUCCCUUCUCAGGAAUGAGGGUGUAGAGUGGAGCAGAGAGGAGGCUGAAAUUAAAAGAAAUAAUUGCACAGAUAGCCACUCGCCAGGCUAUCAUGGUUUUAGUAGGAACUCUAGAAGACAUGCAGAAAGCCACAAAAUUUAUUUCAGGUUUUCUUCAAUCUCCCCAAAGAUUAACAACUUCAAACAAGCUAAUCUUAAAGCUACUGUCUUUACUGUACAGAGGACAAUCGGUGGAGGAGAAGAGAGCCAUUUGAAAAUGUGCUGAUUUAUAAUGGCAUUUUUCCCAAUGAACAGGUUGCUAAGAAAGUUGAUACUGUAUAUAUGCAGUUUCGAUCUAUUAAAUUUUAUUCAUAUGCAGACAAUGAUACAGCGAAUGGGUGUGCAGACAUCUCUUUAUCCUAUCCAUUGUACAAACUUCCCUGAGACAUCAGCAAGUGCAGCCCAGAAUAUAUUAACCAUAAUGUAUCUCCCAGAGUCACUGAAAGCACAAUAUGAAAAGCGUUAUUUUCCUAUCUUUUCAAAUCUCCCAAGAAUGUUAAAUAAAUUAUUUCAAAGUGUGGUGACUUACAAGGCCAAACAUUUCUUUUCCAAGAUGCCCACACACACACAGAUGAUGAAUGCCAUCUUUUCAUUUUUAAUAAACCAGACAAUUUGUACUAUCUGGAAAACCUUGUGAUUAAACUUGAGUGUAAUCUGUGAACUGACACCUGCCUAACUACCUUUCUGUUCUCUAACAGUAGCAGGAUGUUUAGAUAGGGGGAUUAGGGAGAAGAGUUGGUAUCCUUUGAAGUAUCCAUUGUUGUUUAAACCUUUUAUUAGACCAUUUUAUAGGGUGCCUAGAUUUAAUUAAUUAUAGAGUCAAAAAGUAUUAAUGUGAUCAUAGUGUUUAUAAAUGUAAUCUUCAGAUUUUGUAAUCUGAUGCUAGUGUUUACAAGUAACAAAUGCAGGGGUGUGUCUUGUACUUAAGGCUAAUCUUUAUAUUAAAUAACAAUCAAAAUUUAGCUUGAGCUUUACUGCAAAUAGUUUGAUAUCCUAUGGAAAAAGUAAAUUAAAAUUGUGAUUCCUGUAAAAUGUUUGAAUUUUUUUCUUUUGAAACCUUUAUUAUUUGUUCCCCAUAAUUUAACUGCCUAAAUUCAGGGUUUGCAGAUUGUUAACUGAACCAUGUAUUUUAAUCAGAAAUGUAGAAAUAAAAUUUGAAUUUGUA